CCUCAGGCGUCUGCUCGCUCCAUGAGUCUGCAGCUGCCUGGACUCUGACAUCACCUUUAUUCACACGUUCCUCACAUGCACUAGGUGCUGAUUGGCUCCCCUCCCUCCAACCACGACACUCAGGUGAAGAAGCUUUCAUUCAACAGGAUCGCGGGGUUAGCAAGUCCAGCAGAAGACCCCAAACUUCCCUUUCCCUAGCCACAUCGGCCAACUCUGACUGAUCCAGAGGCGUUCCCAGGCCAGUGUGGAGAUAUAAUUCCUCCACCUGGUCCUCGGUCUGCCCCGUGGCCUCCUCCCAGCUGGACGUGCCAGGAACACCGCCCUAGAGGCAUCAUCAUCAGAUGCCCGAACCAUCUCAGCUGGCUCCUUUCUACGCAAAGGAGAAGUGACUCUACUCCGAGUCCCUGGCGGAUGACCAAGCUUCUCACCCUAUCCCCAAGGGAGACGCUGGCCACCCUCCUGAGGUAACCCAUUUCGGCCACUUGUACCCGGGAUCUUGUGACCCAUCUCUCAUGACCAUAGGUGAGGGUAGGAACAAAGAGAGGGACAAAGAGGUUGAGCCUUUCGGCUCAACUCUCUUUUCGUAACAGUGCGAUAAAGCGACCGCAAUACCGCCCCUGCUGCCCCGAUUCUCCGGCCAAGUCCUGCAUUCAAAACUUUAUUGAAGUGAAACAAUCAGUUGAUUCUCAGGCCAAAACAAACUCCAUUCACAAAACCGCUCAUUUUACCUAGCAGAUCAUCAGAGAACUGAACAGAAACAGAA